GACGAACGCUGGCGGCGUGCUUAACACAUGCAAGUCGAACGGAAAGGCCCUGCUUUUGUGGGGUGCUCGAGUGGCGAACGGGUGAGUAACACGUGAGUAACCUGCCCUUGACUUUGGGAUAACUUCAGGAAACUGGGGCUAAUACCGGAUAGGAGCUCCUGCUGCAUGGUGGGGGUUGGAAAGUUUCGGCGGUUGGGGAUGGACUCGCGGCUUAUCAGCUUGUUGGUGGGGUAGUGGCUUACCAAGGCUUUGACGGGUAGCCGGCCUGAGAGGGUGACCGGCCACAUUGGGACUGAGAUACGGCCCAGACUCCUACGGGAGGCAGCAGGGGGGAAUAUUGCAGAAUGGGCGGAAGCCUGUUGCAGCAACGCCGCGUGCGGGAUGACGGCCUUCGGGUUGUAAACCGCUUUCGCCUGUGACGAAGCGUGAGUGACGGUAAUGGGUAAAGAAGCACCGGCUAACUACGUG
rnacentral:rRNA from 1 species